UAGAAUUUCAGGUGUAGCGGUGAAAUGCGUAGAGAUCUGAAGGAAUACCAGUGGCGAAGGCGGCCACCUGGACAAAGACUGACACUGAGGCGCGAAGGCGUGGGGAGCAAACGGGAUUAGAUACCCCGGUAGUCCACGCAGUAAACGAUGUCUAUUAGAAGUUUGUGGCUAUAUGCCGUGGGUUUCAAAGCUAACGCAUUAAAUAGACCGCCUGGGGAGUACGGCCGCAAGGUUAAAACUCAAAUGAAUUGACGGGGGCCCGCACAAGCGGUGGAGCAUGUGGUUUAAUUCGAUGCAACGCGAAGAACCUUACCAUCCCUUGACAUCCAGAGAAUCACCUAGAGAUAGAUGAGUGCCUUCGGGAACUCUGAGACAGGUGCUGCAUGGCUGUCGUCAGCUCGUGUUGUGAAAUGUUGGGUUAAGUCCCGCAACGAGCGCAACCCUUAUCCUUAGUUGCCAGCACGUAAUGGUGGGAACUCUAGGGAGACUGCCGGUGAUAAACCGGAGGAAGGUGGGGACGACGUCAAGUCAUCAUGGCCCUUACGGGAUGGGCUACACACGUGCUACAAUGGCAAAUACAAAGGGUUGCUAACCUGCGAGGGUAUGCGAAUCUCAUAAAGUUUGUCGUAGUCCGGAUCGGAGUCUGCAACUCGACUCCGUGAAGUUGGAAUCGCUAGUAAUCGUGGAUCAGAAUGCCACGGUGAAUACGUUCCCGGGCCUUGUACACACCGCCCGUCACACCAUGGGAGUGGGCUGCACCAGAAGUCAUUAGCUUAACCUUCGGGAUGGCGAUGACCACGGUGUGGUUCAUGACUGGGGUGAA
rnacentral:rRNA from 1 species